GUCAACUCCAUUCCCACAGGAUGUCACUCCUGUCCACUUCCUGUUGCUUGUUAUCCAAUGGGUCUCCACCUGCUGCCAUCUCUUGGGUUUCAUCAGAUGGAAGCAUCACACAGACUUGGAGGAGAUCUUGUCUUUGGUGGAGGAAGAAAUGACUGGAAGUGGACAGCUGCAGGGACAUCGAUGACUUCAUUAACCGGACCUGCAGAGAUCCUGUUUAAAUCAGACAGGAUCCCAAAAGUGUGUCAAAGAUGAUAAAUGCUAUUUUUUGUUUGUACUUGAACUGUUCUAAUAUUCUGCUGCAGUAUAAACCUUAAACUUGUGUUGUUAGAUCACAGCUGAAGUGUGGUUUCUCUCUAAAGUGGACAUGUUUGAAAACAAAUGUGAUAAAAAAGAUGGUAUUGUUAUAUUUCAAAGCUUUUUUAAUAACUUAUAUUUUUCCUUUAAAACAUUUUUACUUAUUUUUGAAUUUAUUGCAUAUGUACUGGUGAGUCAACAUUAAAGCAACAUUAUAAAAAAUUUCCACAUGAAAUAAAAGUCACUGUAAAUCCAGAUCUACUGACUUUAGUUCUUCACUGAGAGUUUAUUGCUAGUAUAGAGAUGUAUUUUUUUAAACCAAAUUCAAAUUUUCUGGACAUUAUAUUUCAAUAUUUUUGUUUCUUUUUGCAUUUCCAAAUGGGGCAUUUUUAUUAGGACAUUUCCAAAAUAAUUUCUCCUAAAAUAAGUAGAGUAAUACUUAUUUAUAACGUCAUAACCCUUGUGCUAUCAAAGGUACGUUGACGUUGGGAGUGGGGUCAUCUAAACCCCACAAGACAACGCACUGAACUUUUUUGUUUUUUUUUCCCAGUGAUUUUUGAUUUUCACUGGUGUCCGUGGCAGACAUGAAAUUCCGUUCACAUUCAUGCACAUUCGUCAUGGGAUGGAUAACACGUCAAUGUAAGGCUUGGGUCAUCUGGACCCCAUGAGAUAGCAGAAGGGUUAAAACCUCACCUCUACAUGCGUGGACAUCACAUUUUGGAUUCGCCCCUGCUUCACUGUGAGUAUACAUGUGAAGAGGGUUAGUUCAAACGUUAGCAUAAGAGGUUAAUGUCUGUCAAAAGGAGAAUUGUGGGGGAUUUAGUUUGGAUUGUUGUAAUCUCAUAAUCAAGCCUAAUUCACUGUUAAUUUUAUUUCAUUUUAUUUCUUUCAAAAAAAGUUUAUUUAACGGAAAACGUUGUAAAACAAACAAUUUGCAUCAUAAUUAAAGCCUUUUUAUUUUUUAUACAAAUGUCUGUUGGUUUACUGGGACUCCUGUAAAAUGCUGCUGUUGCUGCUGUCAGUAAACUUAUGUGUCUGUUUUGCUCUGAAAUUGAUAGGAUUGUGCUUUGAGGUCCUCUGGAGUCUUCUAGAGGUGGAUGACUGGUGUGAUGAAUGGGGCUCAGCCUCCUUGGUGGCUCUAUGAAUGGUGCAUUGGACACUGUAACAAGGUACCCUCAACCCUCUGGAGACCCUCGUAACGUGCUUCACCCGGCAACCAGAGGAAACACAGCAAGCUCUCAAUCCUGGGACCGCAUCUGUCUUUGUUCUUGGGCAGCGCUGUAAGGGCCUCCCUUCACAGGCAGGAGUAUGAUUGCGUUUCCCACUGGACAGAAAAAAAAAUCCUUUGCAGUUGCACAGAGGAGCUUCCUGCACUGACCUGGUUUAGGAACUUCUUCUUCAGUACCACACUGAUCCAUGGAGGUUGUUUAGAAACUCUGCCAAAUGAGAUUACUCGUCCCAACAGCAGUUGCACAGCUCAACAAUAGCACAAACUUUUUAUUGUAAGUCUGUUAGAAUUGUUGGACAAUACUUCAGGCCAAAGACACCAAAGGUUAUUUCCUUGCAUGUCAAAAUCACAGAAGAAGUAAAACACAAAACAAAAAAAGAAUUCUAUAAAGUUAAAUUGUAGAGUCCAACUCCGAUCAUCUUUUGACUUGUUUUAAAAGUGUUCCCAGGAGUUUUUAAUUAUAAUUAUGCAAUUUUUUUACUAAAAUGAAUUCCUGGUUUACAACUAUUUGAAUGAUAAAAAAUUGAAAUGCAAUUUUAAUCUUAAUUUUCUUUAUAUAUGCCCUCCACCAUCAGAAAAAUAUCACGAGAAAAUGUUAAAAAACACAAUUUUCAUUAGGGUGGAUCUCUAAACAAAUCUUACCCAUAUUUUUAAAAAUCAAAAUUAUCUCUACUUGUAUUUACUUUAAAUUCUGCAAUUGCAGGACAUUGAGGAUGAUGAAGUGAGGCUGGCACCCUUUUACCACCAGACCCUUUAAGAACUGUGAAGCCUGUAUGGCUCCUCUAAGCUGUUGCUGUGAGACUAAUGAAUGCACAGGAAACUCCUGAAGACUUGAAGCGGCUGUAUAAUUUAAUUUUUUUCUUUGGAACUCCGGAGUCAGCCAACUGGAUCAUAGGAAAUCUCCUCACAAACCUCUGCACCAAAUGUGUGGAAGAAUCUAGAAGAAACGCAGGUUUAAUAUUACAAAUAAGCCCUAACGUUUGUCUUUUGCAACAAUUGGACUUUGGGGCAGGAUUAAUGUCGGAUAAAUUUAAGAAGACCCUUCUACUAGCAUCAGGACACCUGUGCUGAUUAUUAAUUUAAGUGUCAGAAAAAGGUUUGUCAUAUAAGGCAUUAUUCCAGUAAAACUUUAAAUGACUCCUGCAAUGCUUCAAAUGAAAAUGGCAAAGUCAUGGAUGUUUUUUGCGCACUGCACUCACCUUUUCUGCACAUCUGACAAGGGAUUUAAAAGUUAUUCUCAUUCAGCUAAGCAUCUCACAGUGUAAUCAUGGGGAAUAUGCAAUUAACGGUGAAAGCCUUCAGUCAAUAGCACGGUUUGUGUGUUCAUACACUUUGUCUAUCCCUUCCUCCUUCUCCUUCCCUCCAAUCCUCCGACAUCCUCUUUCUCUCUUUAGCUGAGUAGUUUCUCCACUUUCUUCCUCCAUGUUUACACCUAUUUCAUUACAAAUAAAGCUCCUUGCUCACCCUCCCCUUCUCAUUUUGCAAAUCAUUUCUUAUUUAAUCCUCUCUCAUUGUCCCGUGCCAUCAUUACUACCGCCUCCCGGUCCCCCUGCAUCUCUAUCGUCCUUACACUGCCUCUCUCCUCCCGACAGCCUUCACACUCAUCAC